UACGGGGGGAGCAAGCGUUGUUCGGAUUUACUGGGCGUAAAGGGCGCGUAGGCGGUUUGUCGCGUCGAAUGUGAAACCGGGGCUCAACCCCGGGCCUGCAUUCGAUACGGGCAGACUAGAGUUCGGUAGGGGAGUCUGGAAUUCCUGGUGUAGCGGUGAAAUGCGCAGAUAUCAGGAGGAACACCGGUGGCGAAGGCGGGUCUCUGGGCCGAUACUGACGCUGAGGAGCGAAAGCGUGGGGAGCGAACAGG
rnacentral:rRNA from 1 species